CCUACGGGUGGCAGCAGUGGGGAAUAUUGGGCAAUGGGCGCAAGCCUGACCCAGCAACGCCGCGUGAAGGAAGAAGGCCUUAGGGUUGUAAACUUCCUUUCUCAGGGACGAAGCAAGAGACGGUACCUGAGGAAUAAGCCACGGCUAAUUACGUGCCAGCAGCCUCGGUAAUACGUAGGUGGCAAGCGUUAUCCGGAUUUACUGGGUGUAAAGGGUGUGUAGGCGGGACUGCAAGUCAGAUGUGAAAGCCACGGGCUCAACCUAUGGCCUGCAUUUGGAAUUGUGGUUCUUGAGUACUGGGGAGGCAGGCGGAAUUCCUAGUGUAGCGGUGAAAUGCGUAGAUAUUAGGAAGAACACCAAUGGCGAAGGCAGUCUACUGGACAGCAACUGACGCUGAGGCGCGAAGGCGUGGGGAGCGAACAGGAUUAGAUACCCCAGUAGUC
rnacentral:rRNA from 1 species